rnacentral:rRNA from 1 species
CACUUCUAAGGAAGGCAGCAGGCGCGCAAAUUACCCAAUCCUGACUCAGGGAGGUAGUGACAAGAAAUAACAAUAAACCGGCUUAUGCCGGUUUAAUUGGAAUGAGUACAAUUUAAACAUCUUAACGAGGAACAAUUGGAGGGCAAGUCUGGUGCCAGCAGCCGCGGUAAUUCCAGCUCCAAUAGCGUAUACUAAAGUUGUUGCAGUUAAAAAGCUCGUAGUUGGAUUUCUGUGGGGACGGAGCGGCCGGCCGCAACACGCGGUUCGAGCUAGCGCUUUCCCUACAUCCUGCCGCGAACCGUGCUACCAUUAAUUUGGUGGCGCCGGGGAUCGGCUCGAUUACUUUGAGAAAAAUAGAGUGUUCAAAGCAGGCCACAUGCCUUGAAUAAGUUAGCAUGGAAUAAUAACUAAGGACUUCGGUUCUAUUUUGUUGGUGUUUGGGACUGAAGUAAUGAUUGAUAGGGACAGUUGGGGCGGUCUGUAUUCCAAAGCGAGAGGUGAAAUUCUUAGACCUUCGGAAGACAAACAGCUGCGAAAGCGUUCCGCAAGGAUGUUCCCUUUGAUCAAGAACGAAAGUUGGGGGAUCGAAGACGAUCAGAUACCGUCGUAGUCUCAACUAUAAACUAUACCAGCUAGGGAUCGGCCAACGUUAUUUUAUACCGACUUGGUCGGCACCUUAUGAGAAAUCAAAGCAUCUGGGUUCCGGGGGGAGUAUGGUCGCAAGGCUGAAACUUAAAGGAAUUGACGGAAGGGCGCCACCAGCCGUGGAGCCUGUGGCUUAAUUUGACUCAACACGGGAAAACUUACCAGGUCCAGACAUAGUAAGGAUUGACAGAUUGAUAGCUCUUUCUUGAUUCUGUGGGUGGUGGUGCAUGGCCGUUCUUAGUUGGUGGAGUGAUUUGUCUGGUUAAUUCCGUUAACGAACGAGACCCCAGCCUGCUAAAUAGCGCGCGUGAGCUUUGCUCGCGGCGAGCUUCUUAGAGGGACUAUGAUGCGCGAUAGCACAUGGAAGUUUGGGGCAAUAACAGGUCUGUGAUGCCCUUAGAUGUUCUGGGCCGCACACGGGCUACACUGGCGCCUGCAACGAGCAUAUCAGCUGGCCCGAGAGGGUCUUGGCUAAUCUUUUGAACCGGCGCCGUGCUUGGGAUUGACCUUUGCAAUUGUUGGUCAUGCAACAAGGAAUGCCUUGUAAACGCGAGUCAUCAGCUCGCAUUGAAUACGUCCCUGCCCUUUGUACACACCGCCCGUCGCUCCUACCGAUGAAUGUUCCGAUGAAAUUUUCGGAGAGUGCCUGUGAACUUGGCUCUGCCUUGCGAACGGGAAGCUCAAAGUCACUUAAAUCUGAACAUUUCGAGG